GAUGAACGCUAGCUACAGGCUUAACACAUGCAAGUCGAGGGGAAACGAUAGAGAAAGCUUGCUUUUUCUAGGCGUCGACCGGCGCACGGGUGAGUAACGCGUAUCCAACCUGCCCAUCACUUGGGGAUAACCUUGCGAAAGUAAGACUAAUACCCAAUGAUAUCUCUAGAAGACAUCUGAAGGAGAUUAAAGAUUUAUCGGUGAUGGAUGGGGAUGCGUCUGAUUAGCUUGUUGGCGGGGUAACGGCCCACCAAGGCGACGAUCAGUAGGGGUUCUGAGAGGAAGGUCCCCCACAUUGGAACUGAGACACGGUCCAAACUCCUACGGGAGGCAGCAGUGAGGAAUAUUGGUCAAUGGGCGAGAGCCUGAACCAGCCAAGUAGCGUGCAGGAUGACGGCCCUAUGGGUUGUAAACUGCUUUUAUAAGGGAAUAAAGUGAGUCUCGUGAGGCUUUUUGCAUGCACCUUAUGAAUAAGGACCGGCUAAUUCCGUGCCAGCCGCCGCAGUAA
rnacentral:rRNA from 1 species